rnacentral:misc_RNA from 1 species
UACGGAGGAUCCAAGCGUUAUCCGGAAUCAUGGGGCUUAAAGGGUCCGUAGGCGGGAUAAUAAGUCAGAGGUGAAAGUCUGCAGCUCAACUGUAGAAUUGCCAUUGAUACUGUUGUUCUUGAGUGUUUAUGAAGUGCUUAGAAUAUGUAGUGUAACGGUGAAAUGCAUAGAUAUUACGUAGAAUACCGAUUGCGAAGGAAGAUCACUAAUAAUGUACUGACGCUGAUGAACGAAAGCGUAGGUAGCGAACAGG